GGAGAGGUGGGUGAGUGGCUGAAACCAACAGUUUGCUAAACUGUCGUAGGGGGUAACUCUUACCGGGGGUUCGAAUCCCCCCCUCUCCG
rnacentral:tRNA from 1 species